rnacentral:rRNA from 1 species
AUACGGAGGGGGCUAGCGUUGUUCGGAAUUACUGGGCGUAAAGGGCACGUAGGCGGAUCGGCCAGUCAGGCGUGAAAGCCCCGGGCUUAGCCUGGGAACUGCGUUUGAUACUGCUGAUCUAGAGGCCGGGAGAGGGUAGUGGAAUUCCCAGUGUAGAGGUGAAAUUCGUAGAUAUUGGGAAGAACACCGGUGGCGAAGGCGGCUACCUGGACCGGUACUGACGCUAAGGUGCGAAAGCGUGGGGAGCAAACAGAAUUAGAUACCCCGGUAGUCC